GCUCCUCAAAUUCAAAAUCAAGCCAAGCUGCUAAUUCGAAGGCAGCUACGGAACAUUCAAAACCUUCAUCCAAGUCUUCAAGAAAGAAGUCAAGGAAUUGACUGGGAGAGCAUAGCUUUAGUGCAAACUCCGCCCCCAUCCUCCGAAAAAAAGCGAGAGGGAGGAGCGGGAAAACCUGUAGGUUUUGGUUAAAAAUUUUCCAAUUGUUUGUCAUGUAUUUAACUUUUUCACUAAAGAUGAGAUUUUGGUGGUUUACCAUGCUGUGUCAGGUUUAAUUUGAAACAACUGGAACAAUUAGGAAUUUU
rnacentral:misc_RNA from 1 species